UACGUAUGGAGCAAGCGUUAUCCGGAUUUACUGGGUGUAAAGGGAGUGUAGGUGGCCAGGCAAGUCAGAAGUGAAAGCCCGGGGCUCAACCCCGGGACUGCUUUUGAAACUGCAGGGCUAGAGUGCAGGAGGGGCAAGUGGAAUUCCUAGUGUAGCGGUGAAAUGCGUAGAUAUUAGGAGGAACACCAGUGGCGAAGGCGGCUUGCUGGACUGUAACUGACACUGAGGCUCGAAAGCGUGGGGAGCAAACAGGAUUAGAUACCCUGGUAGCCGCUUGACU
rnacentral:rRNA from 1 species